rnacentral:sRNA from 1 species
CUCGUGCCAGACCCCUGGGGCUGGGCAGGCGGAAAGAGGUCUGAACUGCCUCUGCCUCCUUGGUCUCCGGCAGGGGGAGAAGCGAGCGGACAUCCAGCUGAACAGCUUCGGUUUCUACACCAAUGGCUCCCUGGAGGUGGAGUUGAGCCUCCUGCGGCUGGGCCUCCGGGAGGCAGAAGAGAAGUCCCUGCUGGUGGGGUUCAGUCUCAGCCGGGUUCGAUCUGGCAGAGUUCACACCUAUUCA